AUAUCAAUAAGCGGAGGAAAAGAAACCAACAGGGAUUCCCCUAGUAGCGGCGAGUGAAGUGGGAAAAGCUCAAAUUUAGAAUCUGGCAGCCUCAGGUUGUCCGAGUUGUAGCCUAGAGAAGUGUUUUCCGUGCUGGACCAUGUACAAGUCCUUUGGAACAAGGUGUCUUAGAGGGUGAGAAUCCCGUACAUAACAUGGACCACCAGUGCUUCUGUGAUACACUCUCCAAGAGUCGAGUUGUUUGGGAAUGCAGCUCUAAAUGGGUGGUAAAUUCCAUCUAAAGCUAAAUAUAGGUGAGAGACCGAUAGCGAACAAGUACCGUGAGGGAAAGAUGAAAAGCACUUUGGAAAGAGAGUUAAACAGUACGUGAAAUUGUUGAAAGGGAAACGCUUGAAGUCAGUCUUGCUUGUUGGGACUCAGCCUUGCUCUUUUGCUUGGUGUAUUUCCUAACAGCGGGCCAGCAUCGAUUUCGGGUGGUGCAAAAAGGCUUGAGGAAUGUGGCAUCUUCGGAUGUGUUAUAGCCUCUUGUCAUAUACAUCAUGUGGGAUCGAGGAUUGCAGCAUGCCUUUUGGGCAGGUCUUCGGACACUUUCAUGCUUAGGAUGCUGGCGUAAUGGCUUUAAACGA
rnacentral:rRNA from 1 species